rnacentral:rRNA from 1 species
GGGCUGGAACCUCUCGGGGUUACAGCCUUGCUGAAUUAUUCACCCUUGUCUUUUGCGUACUUCUUGUUUCCUUGGUGGGUUCGCCCACCACUAGGACAAACAUAAACCUUUUGUAAUUGCAAUCAGCGUCAGUAACAAAUUAAUAAUUACAACUUUCAACAACGGAUCUCUUGGUUCUGGCAUCGAUGAAGAACGCAGCGAAAUGCGAUAAGUAGUGUGAAUUGCAGAAUUCAGUGAAUCAUCGAAUCUUUGAACGCACAUUGCGCCCUUUGGUAUUCCAAAGGGCAUGCCUGUUCGAGCGUCAUUUGUAUCCUCAAGCUUUGCUUGGUGUUGGGCGUCUUGUCUCUAGCUUUGCUGGAGACUCGCCUUAAAGUAAUUGGCAGCCGGCCUACUGGUUUCGGAGCGCAGCACAAGUCGCACUCUCUAUCAGCAAAGGUCUAGCAUCCAUUAAGCCUUUUUUUCAACUUUUGACCUCGGAUCAGGUAGGGAUACCCGCUGAACUUAAGCAUAUCAAUAAGCGGAGGAA